rnacentral:rRNA from 1 species
UAGGGAAUCUUCGGCAAUGGACGGAAGUCUGACCGAGCAACGCCGCGUGAGUGAAGAAGGUUUUCGGAUCGUAAAGCUCUGUUGUUAGAGAAGAACGUUGGUAGGAGCGGAAAAUCUACCAAGUGACGGUAACUAACCAGAAAGGGACGGCUAACUACGUGCCAGCAGCCGCGGUAAUACGUAGGUCCCGAGCGUUGUCCGGAUUUAUUGGGCGUAAAGCGAGCGCAGGCGGUUCUUUAAGUCUGAAGUUAAAGGCAGUGGCUUAACCAUUGUACGCUUUGGAAACUGGAGGACUUGAGUGCAGAAGGGGAGAGUGGAAUUCCAUGUGUAGCAGUGAAAUGCGUAGAUAUAUGGAGGAACACCGGUGGCGAAAGCGGCUCUCUGGUCUGUAACUGACGCGGAGGCUCGAAAGCGUGGGGAGCAAACAGG